UGAACGCUGGCGGCAGGCCUAACACAUGCAAGUCGAGCGGUAGCACAGGAGAGCUUGCUCUCUGGGUGACGAGCGGCGGACGGGUGAGUAAUGUCUGGGAAACUGCCUGAUGGAGGGGGAUAACUACUGGAAACGGUAGCUAAUACCGCAUAACGUCGCAAGACCAAAGUGGGGGACCUUCGGGCCUCAUGCCAUCAGAUGUGCCCAGAUGGGAUUAGCUAGUAGGUGGGGUAAUGGCUCACCUAGGCGACGAUCCCUAGCUGGUCUGAGAGGAUGACCAGCCACACUGGAACUGAGACACGGUCCAGACUCCUACGGGAGGCAGCAGUGGGGAAUAUUGCACAAUGGGCGCAAGCCUGAUGCAGCCAUGCCGCGUGUAUGAAGAAGGCCUUCGGGUUGUAAAGUACUUUCAGCGAGGAGGAAGGCAUUAAGGUUAAUAACCUUAGUGAUUGACGUUACUCGCAGAAGAAGCACCGGCUAACUCCGUGCCAGCAGCCGCGGUAAUACGGAGGGUGCAAGCGUUAAUCGGAAUUACUGGGCGUAAAGCGCACGCAGGCGGUUUGUUAAGUCAGAUGUGAAAUCCCCGGGCUCAACCUGGGAACUGCAUUUGAAACUGGCAAGCUUGAGUCUUGUAGAGGGGGGUAGAAUUCCAGGUGUAGCGGUGAAAUGCGUAGAGAUCUGGAGGAAUACCGGUGGCGAAGGCGGCCCCCUGGACAAAGACUGACGCU
rnacentral:rRNA from 1 species